rnacentral:rRNA from 1 species
UACAGAGGGGGCAAGCGUUGCUCGGAAUCACUGGGCGUAAAGGGUGCGUAGGCGGGUCUUUAAGUCAGGGGUGAAAUCCUGGAGCUCAACUCCAGAACUGCCUUCGAUACUGGAAAGCUCGAGUCCGGGAGAGGUGAGUGGAACUGCGAGUGUAGAGGUGAAAUUCGUAGAUAUUCGCAAGAACACCAGUGGCGAAGGCGGCUCACUGGCCCGGUACUGACGCUGAGGUGCGAAAGCGUGGGGAGCAAACAGGG